rnacentral:rRNA from 1 species
GGGUCAGUAGGUUGGUCGUGCCACCGGUACGUACUGGUCUCACUGAUUCCUCCUUCCUGAAGAACCGUAAUGCCAUUAAUUUGGUGUUGCGGGGAAACAGGACUGUUACUUUGAAAAAAUUAGAGUGUUUAAGGCAGGCUAACGCUUGAAUACAUUAGCAUGGAAUAAUGAAAUAGGACGAUCGAUCCUAUUUUGUUGGUUUCUAGGAUUGACGUA